GACGAACGCUGGCGGCGUGCUUAACACAUGCAAGUCGAACGAAGUGGCGAACGGGUGAGUAACGCGUAAUCAACUGGCCCUUCAGAGGGGGACACCAGUUGGAAACGACUGCUAAUACCGCAUACUGAAGGAGGGGUUUGCGUCUGAUUAGCUAGUUGGAGGGGUAACGGCCCAACAAGGCGAUGAACAGUAGCCUGGCUGAUAGGGUGGACGGCCACAAUGGGGCUGAGAAACGGCCCCGACUCCUACGGGGGGCAACAGUGGGGAAUCUUGCGCAAUGGACGAAAGACUGUCGGAACAACGCCCCGUGAGAGGUGACGGCCUUCAGGUUGUAAAGCUAUGUUAAUCGGGGAGCGUUACCGGAAGAGAAAGCAACGGCUAACUACGUGCCAGCAGCCGCGGUAAUUC
rnacentral:rRNA from 1 species